rnacentral:rRNA from 1 species
AAGUCGAACGGUAACAGAUCUAGCUUGCUAGAUGCUGACGAGUGGCGCACGGGUGAGUAACGCGUAUACAAUCUACCUUUAACUGAGGGAUAGCCCAGAGAAAUUUGGAUUAAUACCUCAUAGUAUUAUAUUAAGGCAUCUUUUUAUAAUUAAAACUCCGGUGGUUAAAGAUGUGUAUGCGUCCUAUUAGCUUGUUGGUAAGGUAAGAGCUUGCCAAGGCUACGAUAGGUAGGGGGCCUGAAAGGGUGAUCCCCCACACUGGUACUGAGACACGGACCAGACUCCUACGGGAGGCAGCAGUGAGGAAUAUUGCACAAUGGAGGAAACUCUGAUGCAGCCAUGCCGCGUGCAGGAUGAAUGCCCUAUGGGUUGUAAACUGCUUUUAUACAAGAAGAAACCUCGGUACGUGUACCGACUUGACGGUAUUGUAUGAAUAAGCACCGGCUAACUCCGUGCCAGCAGCCGCGGUAAUACGGAGGGUGCAAGCGUUAUCCGGAUUUAUUAGGUUUAAAGGGUCCGCAGGCGGAAUAUUAAGUCAGUGGUGAAAGCCUACAGCUCAACUGUAGAACUGCCAUUGAGACUGUUAUUCUUGAGUAUGGAUGAAGUGGGGCGGAAUAUGUCAUGUAGCGGUGAAAUGCAUAGAAUAUGAACAUGGAACACCAAUUGCGAAGGCAGCUCCACUAAACCAUUACUGACGCUCCAUGGACGAAAGCGUGGGGAGCGAACAGGAUUAGGUACCCUGGUAGUCCACGCCGUAAACGAUGAUCACUAGAUGUUGGCGAUAUAAUGUCAGCGUUCAAGAGAAAUCGAUAAGUGAUCCACCUGGGGAGUACGUUCGCAAGAAUGAAACUCAAA